rnacentral:rRNA from 1 species
GCUAAGAAUAUUCCGCAAUGGACGGAAGUCUGACGGAGCGACGCCGCGUGGAUGAAGAAGGCCGAAAGGUUGUAAAGUUCUUUUGCUGGGGAAGAAUAACCGCAGGAGGGAAUGCCUGUGGGAUGACAAGAACCGGCGAAUAAGCCCCGGCCAACUACGUGCCAGCAGCCGCGGUAACACGUAGGGGGCGAGCGUUGUUCGGAAUUACUGGGCGUAAAGGGCAUGUAGGCGGCUUGGAAAGCCUGGCGUGAAAGUCUGCAGCUUAACUGCAGGGGUGCGCUGGGAACUGCUGAGCUUGAGUGACGGAGAGGGAGCUGGAAUUCCUGGUGUAGGGGUGAAAUCUGUAGAUAUCAGGAAGAACACCGAUGGCGAAGGCAAGCUCCUGGCCGAUGACUGACGCUGAGGUGCGAAAGUGUGGGGAUCAAACAGGAUUAGAUACCCUGGUAGUCC